UACGUAGGGGGCUAGCGUUGUCCGGAAUCAUUGGGCGUAAAGCGCGCGUAGGCGGCCCUGUUAGUCCGCUGUAAAAGUCAAAGGCUCAACCUUUGAAUGCCGGUGGAUACUGCAGGGCUAGAGUCCGGAAGAGGCGAGUGGAAUUCCUGGUGUAGCGGUGGAAUGCGCAGAUAUCAGGAGGAACACCGGUGGCGAAGGCGGGUCUCUGGGCCGAUACUGACGCUGAGACGCGAAAGCGUGGGGAGCGAACAGG
rnacentral:rRNA from 1 species